rnacentral:ncRNA from 1 species
GGAGUGGAGCCUGCGGCUUAAUUUGACUCAACACGGGAAACCUCACCCGGCCCGGACACGGACAGGAUUGACAGAUUGAUAGCUCUUUCUCGAUUCCGUGGGUGGUGGUGCAUGGCCGUUCUUAGUUGGUGGAGCGAUUUGUCUGGUUAAUUCCGAUAACGAACGAGACUCUGGCAUGCUAACUAGUUACGCGACCCCCGAGCGGUCGGCGUCCCCCAACUUCUUAGAGGGACAAGUGGCGUUCAGCCACCCGAGAUUGAGCAAUAACAGGUCUGUGAUGCCCUUAGAUGUCCGGGGCUGCACGCGCGCUACACUGACUGGCUCAGCGUGUGCCUACCCUACGCCGGCAGGCGCGGGUAACCGUUGAACCCCAUUCGUGAUGGGGAUCGGGGAUGCAAUUAUUCCCCAUGACGAGGAAUUCCAGUAAGUGCGGGUCAUAGCUUGCGUN